GGUGAUAAGUUUUAGCAUUCCAAUAACACGAUACACAAAUGUUUUAAACGAGUUGUAAGGGAUGUUUGUUCAUUUGGCAUUGAGAUAAUCGUUCGACAAAUCAAGACGUUGUGCAUGAGCGAAUUUUGUGCAAAUAUCCUCUCUUUAAGGAUUGUAUAGGAGCAAUAGAUGGAACACAUGUUGCAGCUUGGGCUUCUGCAUCAAAACAAACAUCUUUUAAAGGAAGGAAAACUAAUGUCACAAGAAAAUGUGAUGUUGACAUGCGAUUUUGAUAUGAAAUUCACUUUUUCAUAUGACGACUGGGAAGGUACUGCUAAUGAUUCAUGAGUAUUCGUCGACGCAGUUACAAGAAGGUCAAACAACUUUCUAAUGCCACGAGGAGAUCAAUUUUACCUUGUUGAUUUUGGAUAUCCAAACAUGCCUAGAUUUCUUACCCCUUAUCGAGGUCAAAAAUAUUAUCUGCGUGACUAUGUUAGACGAGGAAGACUACGUGGGAAGGAAGAAUUGUUCAACUAUUGACACUCCUCGUGCCGUAACAUUAUUGAACGUUGCAUUGGAGUUUUAAAAGCAAGAUUUUCGAUUUUGAAGUUGAUUACCAAUUAUCAACUUAGUAGGCAAAGAUAAAUCCCUACUGCAUGUUGUGCAAUAAAUAACUUCAAUCGUCAAGAGCACGCUUUAGAUAAGUUAUUCAUAGAGUAUUCAGAGGAGAUUAUGGUGUUUCAAGACAUACCAGAGUCAAGUUAAGAUCAAGAAGUCAUACAUUUUGAUGCUAGUCAAACAGCUCAAAUGGGACAAGUCAGGAAUCAAAUUACUACACAAAUGUUGAAUGACUACUCAAUACAUCGUACAUGAUUUCGUGGAUAUACUUUAUAUUUUGUUUAGUGUCUA